rnacentral:lncRNA from 1 species
CGAUGGCUUCUCUGAUGCUAAUCUCCUCGGACAAGGUGGUUUCGGUUACGUGCACAGAGGAGUGCUUCCCAACGGCAAGGAAGUCGCCGUCAAGCAGCUGAAAACAGGGAGCGGACAGGGCGAGCGUGAGUUCCAGGCAGAGGUUGAGACCAUCAGUCGAGUUCAUCACAAGCACCUCGUUUCGUUGGUUGGGUAUUGCAUUUCUGGAGGCAAGAGGCUGCUCGUUUACGAAUAUGUUCCUAAUAAUACAUUGGAGUUCCAUUUGCACGGUAAGAAUUUAAGCUUGUUUCAAUAUACAUGUUUGAUGUAUACGUUUCUUUGGAUUAUGACAGUGCAAUUCCGGAGGACUUGCACAUGAAAAAGUGAUGCACAUAUAUUAGACAGAUAGAUGAUGUUCUAAUUCCAAUGGAUCCGUUCAUCUAAGGUAGUUUUCGUGUUCCAGGAAGAGGUCGACCAACUAUGGAAUGGCCUACACGACUAAGAAUUGCGUUGGGUUCUGCAAAAGGAUUGGCAUAUCUUCAUGAGGACUGUGAGUUAUCUCUUCUUUUUUUAAGGCUUAUUGUCGUCGAUUCCUGUUUCGGUCCUAACGACUAGUAUUUUCAAUUUCCAGGUCAUCCUAAGAUUAUUCACCGCGACAUUAAGGCAGCCAACAUUCUUCUUGAUUAUAAGUUUGUGGCAAAGGUAAGGACACAUAUCCUGUAGGUAUAUCACAUUUUAUGUUACACACCAGACCAUCUACCAUAUGUUCUCAGCCAAGCUUGAAUCUGCAAUGAACAUUUCAGCUUUGGCUUCUUGGUAGAGUAGACCAAACAGCAUAGAUCUUUAAGAACAAUUGUGUGCCAUAAAAUCUUCUGAAUCAAUCACCAUUUUUUACUUUUAUUAUCAGUGUAGCUUUGAUUAAUUCAACCUAUGUGUUCUGUUUGCAGGUUGCAGAUUUCGGGCUAGCGAAGUUUGCUUCUGAUAAUAACACCCAUGUUUCUACGAGAGUUAUGGGAACAUUCGGGUAUGCUUCAUUUCUAAGAUUUACACUUUGCUUUGGUUUGGACUCAUCAUUAUUGAACAAGAUUAAUAAAUUAUUCCUCCUUCUAAAGACCUACAUCUUGGGAGUAAGUUUCUUUAUUAUUAGUCUUUGCACUUUGAUGCAUUUUCUGCUAUAUCUUCUGCAUCUGGAAACGGAUCUACUAUUGACAAUUUCCUCGUUGCAAUUUGGCUACAAAGAUGUUGGUGUGAGGUUGUCAUUCUCUUGAUUUCUUGGUCAGUUUUUUCUAAUCUGUAGCCCCUGCAUUCUUGCAGUUAUCUGGCACCUGAGUAUGCAUCUUCAGGCAAACUCACUGACAAAUCAGAUGUCUUUUCAUUUGGUAUCAUGCUUCUGGAGCUAAUCACCGGACGACGCCCUGUUGAUUCGUCCCAAACUUUCAUGGAUGAUAGCUUAGUCGACUGGGUUAGUAUUUUUCCUAACUUUUUUUAGUGUGUGUAUCAUCUUGGUGUGUUGCUUCUGCUUUUACCUUCCCACAUUUAAUUCUUAAAUUUUUCUUGUGACUUCAGGCAAGGCCAUUGCUUACUCGAGCUCUCGAGGAUGGCAAUUACGAUGCCCUUGUUGAUCCAAAGUUGGGAAUGAACUAUAACCCUAAUGAGAUGGCUCGCAUGAUUGCCUGUGCUGCUGCAUGUGUGCGUCACUCGUCAAGGCGACGGCCAAGGAUGAGUCAGGUAGUCUUUCCUUUCCAUGUUUUCUCCGAGUGUCUUUCAUCAGUGUUUGUGUUAUUUUGAAUGAAUUUUAAGUGAUUUUUUUUGCACAAGUAUGAGUCUUGAUACAAUGUAUGGCAGGUAAGACUGCUCAUUUACAAGUUGGAUGAUUAGGAUUUGAAUCAUAUAAAUAACAUCUCUACUUGUGGGAUAAGAUUGCGUACGCUAUUAACUAUAUGCUCAUAAGCCUUGUACACCCCUUUUCUCCUUCAAUUGUUAAACUGGUUUUAUCGUCUUGCAUUGUCAUUUGUUCUUUUAAGUGUUUUCUAUGCACAAACCUGCAUCUUGUUUUCCAGAAGUCUGUAAACUUUCGAACUCAUAUCGCACUUAAGUUUCAGGUGGUUCUGAUGAGACUUAUUUUUUCUUCUUUUGUCAGCCUCUAAUAGCUUACUAUCUAUCUAAUACAUCCAGCUUUUACUAACCCUAACGAGUGAAACCAACAAGCAGAUUCUUCGAGCAUUAGAAGGAGAUGUAUCUCUUGAAGAUUUACAUGAAGGCAUCAGACCCGGUCAUAGCAGGUUCUACAGCUCAUAUGGCAGCUCAGAUUACGAUUCCGGCCAAUAUAACGAGGACAUGAAGAAGUUUAGAAAAAUGGCACUGACCACUCAAGAGUAUGCCAGCAGCGAGUACAGUGCACCGACGAGCGAGUAUGGUCGGAAUCCAUCUGCAUCGAGCAGCGAAGGUGCACAGACGCAGGAGGUAGAGAUGGGGAAGAAGAAAGACAGCUACGAAUACGGCAGCAGUUUGUGAGAAUAUUUUGCAGUCUGUUUUGUAAAGCCUAAACUUCAUGUUCCAUACCUAUUCCUAAGACUAUAUUCAUGGUUCAACUAUAGUUUGUCUGUCUUUUUUGUUCUAAUAAUGAAUGGUGAACAGCUAACCGAUUCUUUGUAUGGUGUAAUUUCCUAUUGUUUCUUGUAUACAUAUAUUUAUAUUUUUUUCUUAUCUAAUGUUGCCAAUUAAUCUCUCUAUAACAAGGUUCAUAAGCAUACUAAGAAUGCAAGUCUGGGAACCCUCAGCUGGCAAUGAAGACAAUGCUGAUGGUUCCCAGGUGAGUUUUUGUGCUCUAAUUCUACACUAAGUCUGCCAAAUAAGCUAAUAUCUAUUGACAUUGUGUGUUGAAUUGAGGCUUUCUCAUGGAUGAAUGGCCUGUUCAACAUACACUUCUAUAGCAUCCUAAAGAUACAAAGAAGGCUCUCUCAAAUGAUUUCAGAUAUGUUGCAAUCAAGUCAAACUAACAAAGGUUAAUGAGGCUUCUUUCCUGCAGUUCUAAAAACUAGCCAUGGUGUGCUAUCAAAGGGGAACACAACAUUCCCUAUUUUGAGACGUUAGCUGAAGAAAGGAUUCAAUGUAGAAGCUGCUUUCCAAUGUAUUGCCAUGAACUAUUGAACCAAAUGAAGAUAUCUAUCUAUCUAUCAUAUCAUCUGCAAACACAUCUAAUUUCGCAGUAAAAUAUAUAUGAGAGAGAGAGAAAGAACUAAGCAGAAUGUGGGUCAAAGAACAAGAACAUAGAGAUGCGGUAUGGGUAUAGAAACAACAGGAAAGCAAACGUGAUCGAAUAGAACCAAAACGGACCAUGAAAGACAGACGCGUACCUUCCGAACCCCAGCAAACAAACUGAUGCGACGCUUCAUGAAUGACCUUCGUAGCAGCAGAGAUAUGAUCGAAUCAGACCUGAUGUUUUCGUUCUGCAACAGGAAGGGCCCCAUCCGGGGCCAAAAAGGGCCACCUUUCGGCGAGAGGGGAAGCUGCCGCCGAUCGGAAUGGUCGAAGGCGGAGGCAGUGGAGGCGACGGGGCGCCACCCGAGGAACACGGAGACACGGGGUCGGGGCGAGGAGUCCGAUGCCGGCCGCGGGGAACGGCCCCAGGGCGAGGAGAUGGUCGAUUCCCUCCCUCGCAGCGGCUGCCGGUAGGAGGGCUUCGGCGUGGUUGCGCUUUAUUGAUGCUCGACGCUUGUAGCGGGCCGGCCGUGAUCGAAU